CUUGGGAGAAGGGUGUGCCCAGGACUUUGCAUCACGGAUAUUUGACGGGUCCUGGCACUCAGUAAAUGAAUGGUCGCAGGGUGAACAAUAAAUGAAGGGGGAAAUCAACCCUGAAAAAAGAAGGAUUUGCCCUUGGAGUUCUAGGUCACCAGCUAGGACCUUCCUUUGCACCUGUAGCAUAUCUGUUGAAGAAGCUAGACCUGGCUACUCAAGGAUGGGCAUCCUGCAUACGUGCUUUAGCAGCUGCUGAGCUUCUUAUCCGUCUAAAAGGCACCAGAGAGUACCAUAUGGCCCAGACUGCAAUGAAACAACAAUCAACCCCAGGACGUGGCAGCACCCCAACCCCCCAAAGAUGGUCAACGCCCCAGGCCAGCAGGAAGCAGCCUUGAGACAUCUUCGCCCUUACUUCCCUAACCUGCCAAGCCCAAUUCUCCAACUUUUAUAAUAAACAACAGCCGGGAUUAUAAGAACAAUACACCUGGAUGACCCUGACCCCCGCCCCCUAACCACGGGGCACACACCCGCCAUGCAUU
rnacentral:lncRNA from 1 species